rnacentral:rRNA from 1 species
CCUACGGGUGGCAGCAGUGAGGAAUAUUGGUCAAUGGGCGCGAGCCUGAACCAGCCAAGUCGCGUGAGGGAUGACGGUCCUACGGAUUGUAAACCUCUUUUGCCGGGGAGCAAGCGUGCGUUCGUGAACGCGCGUCGAGAGUACCCGGAGAAAAAGCAUCGGCUAACUCCGUGCCAGCAGCCGCGGUAAUACGGAGGAUGCGAGCGUUAUCCGGAUUUAUUGGGUUUAAAGGGUGCGUAGGCGGGAUGCCAAGUCAGCGGUAAAAAUGCGGUGCUCAACGCCGUCGAGCCGUUGAAACUGGCGUUCUUGAGAUGUCGAGAGGUAUGCGGAAUGCGCAGUGUAGCGGUGAAAUGCUUAGAUAUUGCGCAGAACUCCGAUUGCGAAGGCAGCAUACCGGCGGCGAUCUGACGCUGAGGCACGAAAGCGUGGGUAUCGAACAGGAUUAGAUACCCGGGUAGUC